rnacentral:rRNA from 1 species
GUGCCAGCAGCCGCGGGGUCGACAAGCGCUUCGCCCUCCCCGUCGAAUAGUUCUUUGCACACACCGCCCACGUUCUUUGCACACACCGCCCAAUGUGCCAGCAGCCGCGGUAAUUCCAGCUCCAGUAGCGCAUAUAUUUGUUGCUGCAGUUAAAAAGUCCGUAGUUGGCCCCAGGGGUAUGCGGCGCAAGCUGCGACCCCCGAUACUGUGAGUAGAAUACAGUUCUCAAAGCACAUGAUGAGUAGUUCAGCAUGGGACAUAGGGGAGAAAGGAACAGAUGAUGGCAAUAGUAUUCAACAGCGAGAGGUGAAAAUCGUUGACCUGUUGAGGACUCUCGGAAGCGAAGGCGAUUGUCAAGGAUGUAUCCGUUAAUAAAGGACUUAAGCCGGAGGACCGAAGAUGAUUAGAUACCGUCGUAGUUCCGGCUGUAAACUAUGCCAACUAGGUGAGGCCUGCGGGCUGUGCCUUAAGAGAAAUCAAGAGUUUUUGGGCUCUGGGGAUAGUGCAAUCGCAAGAUAGAAACUUAAAGAAAUUGACGGAAGGACACCACAAGGAGUGGAUUAUGCGGCUUAAUU